rnacentral:sRNA from 1 species
GCCAGGCAUGGUGGCACACGCCUGUAAUCCCAGCAGCUUAGGAGGCUGAGGCAGGAGGAUUGCAAGUUCAAAGCCAGCCUCAGCAAUUUAGAGAGGCACUUUGCAAUUCAACAAGACCCUGUCUCUA